CUCACCUGCUGACAGAAGGUUCUCAGGUGAGAGUGGCUGAUCACAGAUCACCUGCUGACAGAAGGUUCUCAGGUGAGAGUGGCUGAUCACAGCUCACCUGCUGACAGAAGGUUCUCAGGUGAGAGUGGCUGAUCACAGCUCACCUGCUGACGGGGAGGACGACUCUGAAUUAAAGCCUAACGAUGCACCUGUCGCGUCACAGCAAAGAGCCGGACGAGCGCCUGAACUCACCACCGAGCGCCUGAACACUUCAGUCUGACAUGAGACGCUUUAGAUUCACUGCACUCACCUGUCAGUGUCUGCAGCACAGGUGCUAAACAACAGACAUGACGAGUGGCUGAGUUUCAUUUCAGGUUCAUUUACGCUCUCGGUCAACAGUCCGCCGCUCGCUUCUCGUUCUCAGUGUGACACCAAGCAGACGUGGAGCAGUGACGAGCUCGGCGUGCUCUGGUAUCAGCAGCAGACGAUCAGAUUUAAUCUCAGGUGAGACACGCCGACACAGUCAGAUGAGCACGCCCACGUUUUUGUGCUCGACUCAGAGACGAAGAUGAAAUCAUGUUCCAUCUUUCUUCUCAUUUUCAUUUUUUUUUAAGACUCUGUUCCUUCCACUGAUUGGUCCGUCCCUCCUCCGGUGACUCUCUCCAUCAAACUGUCUGACAUCAGAGCUCUGUGGACGAUUUGCCUCAAUGAGUCUGAGGAGGAAAGAAUCCGUCCAACAGAUAAAUCAAUAAAAAUGAC